GACUUUUACUGAAUUGAUUCAAGGCAUCACUUUUCAUGUACUAUAUUAUUGAAUAGCCCUCCUUUUUGUAAUAGAUUUAAAAUGCACAGAGUGAGUGUGACACACCCAUCUCUGUUUUCAGUGUGCCUACACUCUUUGUUUUUAAGAAUGUACUUACAUUUUGAGGGGUUGUUUUUGCCUUCUUUGGAUAUCGAUUUCUCAUUAAUCUCUUUGCUUACUUUCUCUCUAAGCCACAUUGGUUUUAAUUAGUUUUUUAUAUUUAUUACCCAGAGGUACAUACUGAGAUUGUACUUUGCUAAUAUUUGUUUGAAGCUAUUCCAUUUAUCUUCAGUGGGGUUUCUCCCCAUAUUCUGCCUAAAAUAAUAUUUCUAGAUUUCUAAUAGCUUAUUCUAAACAAGACUGAU